CUUCGAAUAUCUACCUAAAGGGAGUCUUGAUAAGCAUAUCACUGAUGCAUCUUGUGGACUUGAAUGGAGAGAGCGAUAUCAAAUUAUCAAUGGAAUUUGUGACGGUUUGUAUUAUCUUCACCAAAAGCACAUCGUUCACUUGGAUCUUAAACCGGGAAAUAUAUUAUUAGAUAAUAAUAUGAUCCCGAAAAUUUCUGAUUUUGGUCUUUCGAGAUGCUUCGAUGAAAAUCAAACUCGUACUAUUGCUUCGAAGGUGAUUGGAACUAUGGGAUAUUUGGCACCAGAAUUCUGUAGUGUCAGACAGAUCACAGUCAAGUCGGACAUAUAUAGUCUUGGUACGAUAAUCAUAGAGAUAAUAACAGGAGAGAAAGGAUAUGCUGAUGUUGCCAAUGUAAUUGAGAGGUGGAGCAAUAGGUUGGAGAAAUCACAGCCAGACACACAACUGGAACA